rnacentral:lncRNA from 1 species
UGGAAUAUGGUGGAAGGGGGCACCGCACACGGCUAAGGAACGAUCCGUAGAUCAACUUGUGUGUCUAUGGGGUGCCCCCUGCCCCCGUAUAUAAAGGAGCAAGGGGGGAGGCCGGCCGGCCCUUAGAGGGCGAGCGAAGGAGGAGGAAUCCUCCUCCUAGUAGGAGUAGGACUCCCCCUUUCCUACUCCUACUAGGAGGGGAAAGGAGGGGGAGAGGGGAAGGAAAGAGGGGGGCGCCGCUGAAGGAAAUAUGCCCUAGAGGCAAUAAUAAAGUUAUUAUUUAUUUCCUUAUAUCAUGAUAAAUGUUUAUUAUUCAUGCUAGAAUUGUAUUAACCAGAAACAUAAUACAUGUGUGAAUAUAUAGACAAACAGAGUGUCACUAGUAUGCCUCUACUUGACUUGCUUGUUAAUCAAAGAUGGUUAUGUUUCCUAACCAUGGACAAAGAGUUGUUAUUUGAUUAACGGGAUCACAUCAUUAGUUGAAUGAUCUGAUUGACAUGACCCAUUCCGUUAGCUUAGCACCCGAUCGUUUAGUAUGUUGCUAUUGCUUUCUUCAUGACUUAUACAUGUUCCUAUGACUAUGAGAUUAUGCAACUCCCGUUUACCGGAGGAACACUUUGUGUGCUACCAAACGUUACAAUGUAACUGGGUGAUUAUAAAGGUGCUCUACAGGUGUCUCCAAAGGUACUUGUUGGGUUGGCAUAUUUCGAGAUUAGGAUUUGUCACUCCGAAUGUCGGAGAGGUAUCUCUGGGCCCUCUCGGUAAUGCACAUCACUUAAGCCUUGCAAGCAUUGCAACUAAUGAGUUAGUUGUGAGAUGAUGUAUUACGGAACGAGUAAAGAGACUUGCCGGUAACGAGAUUGAACUAGGUAUUGGAUACCAACGAUCGAAUCUCGGGUAAGUAACAUACCGAUGACAAAGGGAACAACGUAUGUUGUUAUGCGGUCUGACCGAUAAAGAUCUUCGUAGAAUAUGUAGGAACCAAUAUGGGCAUCCAGGUCCCGCUAUUGGUUAUUGACCGGAGACGUGUCUCGGUCAUGUCUACAUUGUUCUCGAACCGUAGGGUCCGCACGCUUAAGGUUUCGAUGACAGUUAUAUUAUGAGUUUAUGAGUUUUGAUGUACCGAAGGAGUUCGGAGUCCCGGAUGAGAUCGGGGACAUGACGAGGAGUCUCGAAAUGGUCGAGACGUAAAGAUCGAUAUAUUGGACGACUAUAUUCGGAGUUCGGAAAGGUUCCGAGUGAUUCGGGUAUUUUUCGGAGUACUGGAGAGUUACGGGAAUUCACCGGGGAGAAGUAUUGGGCCUUAUUGGGACCUGCGGGAAAGAGAGAGGGGCUGCCUAGGGCAGGCCGCACGCCCCCCCAUGGCCUAGUCCGAAUUGGACUAGGGGGAGGGGCCACACCCCCUCCUUCCUUCCCUUCUCUCUUCCCCUUCCUUGUCUCCUACUCCUAAUACAUGGAAGGACUCCUAGUUGGACUAGGAAAGGGGGAAUACUACUCCCGGUGGGAGUAGGACUCCCCUAGGGCGCGCCAUACAAGAGGGCCGGCCCUCCCCUCCUCCACUCCUUUAUAUACGGGGGUAGGGGGCACCCCAUGGACACACAAGUUGAUCAUUGAGAUCGUUCCUUAGCCGUGUGCGGUGCCCCCCUCCACGAUAUUACACCUCGGUCAUAUUGUAGCGGUGCUUAGGCGAAGCCCUGCGACAGGAGAACAUCAAGAUCAUCACCACGCCGUCAUGCUGACGGAACUCCUCCCCGCGCCUCUGCUGGAUCGGAGAUCGGGCUGCGUCAUCGAGCUGUACGUGUGUCAAGAACUCGGAGGUGCCGGAGUAACGGUGCUUGGAUCGGUUGGACCGGGAGGACGUACGACUACUUCCUCUACGUUGCGUCAACGCUUCCGCUUCGGUCUACGAGGGUACGUAGACAACACUCUCCCCUCUCGUUGCUAUGCAUCACCAUGAUCUUGCGUGUGCGUAGGAAAUUUUUUGAAAUUACUACGUUCCCCAACAGUGGCAUCCGAGCCUAGGUUUUUAUGGUUUGAUGUUAUUUGCACGAGUAGAACACAAGUGAGUUGUGGGCGAUAUAAGUCAUACUGCUUACAAGCAUGUCAUACUUUGGUUCGGCGAUAUUGUUGGAUGAAGCGGCCCGGACCGAUAUUACGCGUACGCUUACGCGAGACUGGUUUUACCGCCGUGCUUUGCACACAGGUGACUAGCGGGUGUCAGUUUCUCCAACUUUAGUUGAACCGAGUGUGGCUACGCCCGGUCCUUGCGAAGGUUAAAACAGCAUCAACUUGACAAACUAUCGUUGUGGUUUUGAUGCGUAGGUGAGAUUGAUUCUUGCUUAAAGCCCGUAGCAGCCACGUAAAACUUGCACAACAAAGUAGAGGACGUCUAACUUGUUUUUGCAGGGCAUGUUGUGAUGUGAUAUGGUCAAGACGUGAUAAGAUAUAAGUUGUUGUAUGAGAUGAUCAUGUUUUGUUGAAGUUAUCGGCAACUGGCAGAAGCCCUAUGGAUGUCUCUUUGUUGCAUAAGAUGCAAGUGCCAAAUAAUUGCUUUACUUUAUCGCUAUACGAUAGCAAUAGUUGCAAGAGCAAUAGUUGGUGAGACAACCAUGUGAUGACACAUUGAUAUAGAUCAAGAUGAUGAAGAUCAUGGUGUCGUGCCGGUGACGAUAGAGAUCAUGACAGUACUUUGGAGAUGGAGAUCAAAGGCGCAAGAUGAUCAUGGCCAUAUCAUGUCACAUAUUUUGAUUGCAUAUGAUGUUUAUCUAUUAUACAUCUUAUUCUUGCUUUGAUUGACGGUAGCAUUUUAAGAUGAUCUCUCACUAAUUAUCAAGAAGUGUUCUCCCUGAGUAUGCACCGUUGCCAAAGUUCGUCGUGCCCAGACACCACGUGAUGAUCGGGUGUGAUAAGCUCUACGUCCAUCUACAACGGGUGCAAGCCAGUUUUGCACACGCGGAAUACUCAGGUUAAACUUGACGAGCCUAGCAUAUGCAGAUAUGGCCUUGGAGCACGGAGACCGAAAGGUCGAGCAUGAAUCAUAUAGUAGAUAUGAUCAACAUAGUGAUGUUCACCAUUGAAAACUACUCCAUCUCACGUGAUGAUCGGUUAUGGUUUAGUUGAUUUGGAUCACGUGAUCACUUAGAUGACUAGAGAGAUGUCUGUCUAAGUGGGAGUUCUUAAGUAAUAUGAUUAAUUGAACUUAAAUUUAUCAUGAACUUAGUCCUGGUAGUAUUUUGCAAAUUAUGUUGUAAGAUCAAUAGCUUGCGUUGUUGCUUUCAUAUGUUUAUUUUGAUAUGUUCCUGGAGAAAACUAUGUUGAAAAAUGUUAGUAGCAAUGAUGCGGAUUGGAUCCGUGAUCUGAGCUUUAUCCUCAUUGUUGCGCAGAAGAAAUAUGCCAUUGAUGCACUGCUAGGUGACAAACCUAUUGCAGGAGCAGAUGCAGACGUUAUGAACGUUUGGCUAGCUCAAUAUGAUGACUACUUGAUAGUUUUGUGCACCAUGCUUUAUGGCUUAGAAUCGGGACUUCAAAGAUGUUUUGAACAUCAUGGACCAUAUGAGAUGUUCCAGGAAUUGAAGUUAAUAUUUCAAGCAAAUACCCGAGUUGAGAGAUAUGAAGUCUCCAACAAGUUCUAUAGCUAAAAGAUGGAGGAGAAUCGCUCAACUAGUGAGCAUGUUCUCAGAUUGUCUGGGUACUACAAUCGCUUGAAUCAAGUGGGAGUUAAUCUUCCAGAUAAGAUAGUGAUUGACAGAAUUCUCUAGUCACCAUCACCAAGUUAGUAGAACUUCGUGAUGAACUAUAGUAUACAAGGGAUGAUGAAAAUGAUUCCCGAGUUUUUCAUGAUGAUGAAAUCGAUGAAGGUAGAAAUCAAGAAAGAACAUCAAGUGUUGAUGGUUAACAAGACCACUAGUUUCAAGAAAAGGGCAAAGGGAUAGAAGGGAACUUCAAGAAGAACGGCAAGCAAGUUGCUGCUCAAGUGAAGAAGCCCAAGUCUGGACCUAAGCCUAAGACUAAGUGCUUCUACUGCAAAGGGACUGGUCACUGGAAGCAGAACUACCCCAAGUAUUUGGCGGAUAAGAAGGAUGGCAAAGUGAACAAAGGUAUAUUUGAUAUACAUGUUAUUGAUGUGUACUUUACUAGUGUUUAUAGCAACCCCUCGGUAUUUGGUACUGGUUCAGUUGCUAAGAGUAGUAACUCGAAACGGGAGUUGCAGAAUAAACAGAAACUAGUUAAGGGUGAAGUGACGAUGUGUGUUGAAAGUAGUUUCAAGAUUGAUAUGAUCAUCAUCGCACACUCCCUAUACUUUCGGGAUUAGUGUUGAACCUAAAUAAAUGUUAUUUGGUGUUUGCGUUGAGCAUGAAUAUGAUUUGAUCAUGUUUAUUGCAAUACGGUUAUUCAUUUAAGUAAGAGAAUAAACUGUUGUUCUGUUUACAUGAAUAAAACCUUAUAUGGUUACACACCCAAUGAAAAUGGUUCAUUGGAUCUCGAUUGUAGUGAUACACAUAUUCAUAAUAUUGAAACCAAAAGAUGCAAAGUUAAUAAUGAUAGUGCAACUUAUUUGUGGCACUGCCGUUUAGGUCAUAUUGGUGUAAAGCGCAUGAAGAAACUCCAUGCUGAUGGGAUUUUGGAAUCACUUGAUUAUGAAUCACUUGAUGCUUGCGAACCAUGCCUCAUGGGCAAGAUGACUAAGACUCCGUUCUCUGAAACAGUGGAGCGAGCAACUAACUUAUUGGAAAUAAUACAUACUGAUGUAUGCGAUCUGAUGAGUGUUAAGGCUCGUGGCGGGUAUCGUUAUUUUCUGACCUUCACAGAUGAUUUGAGCAGAUAUGGGUAUAUCUACUUGAUGAAAACUAAGUCUGAAACAUUUGAAAAGUUCAAAGAAUUUCAGAGUGAAGUGGAACAUCAUCGUGACAAGAAAAUAAGGUUUCUACGAUCUGAUCGCGGAGACAAAUAUUUGAGUUACGAGUUUGGUCUUUAAUUAAAACAAUGUGGAAUAGUUUCACAAAUUCAUGCCACCUGGAACACCACAUCAUAAUGGUGUGUCCGAACGUCAUAACCGUACUUUAUUGGAUAUAGUACAAUCUAUGAUGUUUCUUACCGAUUUACCAAUAUUGUUUUGGGGUUAUGCAUUAGAGACAGCUGCAUUCACGUUAAAAGGGCACCAUCUAAAUCCGUUAAGACGACACUAUAUGAACUAUGGUUUGGCAAGAAACCAAAGUUGUCGUUUCUUAAAGAUUUGGGGCUACGAUGAUUAUGUGAAAAAGUUUUUCAUCCUGAUAAGCUCAAACCCAAAUCGGAGAAGUGCGUCUUCAUAGAAUACCCAAAGGAAACUGUUGGGUACACCUUCUAUCACAGAUCUGAAGGCAAAACAUUUGUUGCUAAGAAUUGUUCCUUUCUAGAGAAGGAGUUUCUCUCGAAAGAAGUGAGUGGGAGGAAAUUAGAACUUGAUAAGGUAAUUGUACCUUCUCCUGAAUUGGAAAAUCGUUUAUCACUAAAAUCAGUUCCAGUGAUUCCUACACCAAUUAGUGAGGAAGCUAAUGAUGAUGAUCAUGAAACUUCAGAUCAAGUUACUACAGAACCUCAUAGGUCUUCCAAAGUACAGUCCGCACCAGAGUGGUACGGUAAUCCUGUUCUGGAAGUCAUGUUACUAGACCAUGAUGAACCUAUGAACUAUGAGGAAGCGAUGAUGAGCCCAGAUUCCGCAAAAUGGUUUGAGGCCAUGAAAUCUGAGAUAUGAUCCAUGUAUGAGAACAAAGUAUGGACUUUGAUGGAUUUUCCUGAUGAUCGGCAAACCAUAGAAAAUAAAUGGAUCUUCAAGAGGAAGACGGAUGUUGAUAGUAGUGUUACUAUCUACAAAUCUAGACUUGUGGAAAAAGGUUUUUUUGACAAAGUUCAAGGUGUUAACUACGAUGAAAUUUUCUCACUCGUACCGAUGCUUAAAGUCUGUCCAAAUCAUGUUAGCAAUUGCCGCAUUUUUAUGAAAUCUGGCAAAUGGAUAAACAAAACUGCAUUUCUUAAUGGAUUUAUUAAAGAAGAGUUGUAUAUGAUGCAACCAGAAGGUUUUGUCAAUCCUAAAGGUGCUAACAAAAUGUGCAAGCUCCAGCGAUCCAUCUAUGGACUGGUGCAAGCAUCUCGGAGUUGGAAUAUACGCUUUGAUAAGUUGAUCAAAGCAUAUAGUUUAUACAGACUUGCAGUGAAGCCUGUAUUUACUAGAAAGUGAAGCACUACAGCAUUUCUGAUAAGUAUAUGUGAAUGACAUAUUGUAGAUCGGAAAUAAUGUAGAAUUAUUCUGCAAAGCAUAAAGGAGUGUUUAAACGGAGUUUUUCAAAGAAAGACCUCGGUGAAGCUGCUUACACAUUGAGCAUUAAGAUCUAUAGAGAUAGAUCAAGACGCUUGAUAAGUUUUUUCAAUGAGUACAUACCUUGACAAGAUUUUGAAGUAGUUCAAAAUGGAACAGUCAAAGAAAGAGUUCUUGCCUGUGUUACAAGGUGUGAAAUUGAGUAAGACUCAAAACCCGACCACGGCAGAAGAUAGAAAGAGAAUGAAAGUUAUUCCCUAUGCCUUGGCCAUAGGUUCUAUAAAGUAUGCCAUGCUAUGUACCAGAUCUAUUGUAUACCCUGCACUGAGUUUGGCAAGGGAGUACAAUAGUGAUCUAGGAGUAGAUCACUGGACAACGGUCAAAAUUAUCCUUAGUGGAAUAAGGAUAUGUUUCUCAAUUAUGGAAGUGACAAAAGGUUCGUCGUAAAGGGUUACGUCGAUGCAAGUUUUGACACCGAUCUGGAUGACUCUAAGUCUCGAUCUAGAUACAUAUUGAAAGUGGGAGCAAUUAGCUAGAAUAGCUCCGUGCAGAGCAUUGUAGACAUAAAACAUUGCAAAAUACAUAACGGAUCUGAAUGUGAAAGACCCGUUGACUAAGAUUCUCUCACAAGCAAAACAUGAUCACACCUAAGUACUCUUUGGGUGUUAAUCACAUAGCGAUGUGAACUAGAUUACUGAAUCUAGUAAACCCUUUGGAUGUUGGUCACAUGGCGAUGUGAACUAUCGGUGUUAAUCACAUGAUGAUGUGAACUAUCGAUGUGAAUCACAUGGUGAUGUGAUCUAGAUUAUUGACUCUAGUGCAAGUGGGAGACUGAAGGAAAUAUGCCCUAGAGGCAAUAAUAAAGUUAUUAUUUAUUUCCUUAUAUCAUGAUAAAUGUUUAUUAUUCAUGCUAGAAUUGUAUUAACCGGAAACAUAAUACAUGUGUGAAUAUAUAGACAAACAGAGUGUCACUAGUAUGCCUCUACUUGACUAGCUUGUUAAUCAAAGAUGGUUAUGUUUCCUAACCAUGGACAAAGAGUUGUUAUUUGAUUAAUGGGAUCACAUCAUUAGUUGAAUGAUCUGAUUGACAUGACCCAUUCCGUUAGCUUAGCACCCGAUCGUUUAGUAUGUUGCUAUUGCUUUCUUCAUGACUUAUACAUGUUCCUAUGACUAUGAGAUUAUGCAACUCCCGUUUACCGGAGGAACACUUUGUGUGCUACCAAACGUCACAACGUAACUGGGUGAUUAUAAAGGUGCUCUACAGGUGUCUCCAAAGGUACUUGUUGGGUUGGCGUAUUUCGAGAUGAGGAUUUGUCACUCCGAAUGUCGGAGAGGUAUCUCUGGGCCCUCUCGGUAAUGCACAUCACUUAAGCCUUGCAAGCAAGGCAACUAAUGAGUUAGUUGUGAGAUGAUGUAUUACGGAACGAGUAAAGAGACUUUCCGGUAAAAAGAUUGAACUAGGUAUUGGAUACCGACGAUCGAAUCUCGGGUAAGUAACAUACCGAUGACAAAGGGAACAACGUAUGUUGUUAUGCGGUCUGACCGAUAAAGAUCUUCGUAGAAUAUGUAGGAACCAAUAUGGGCAUCCAGGUCCCGCUAUUGGUUAUUGACCGGAGACGUGUCUCGGUCAUGUCUACAUUGUUCUCGAACCGUAGGGUCCGCACGCUUAAGGUUUCGAUGACAGUUAUAUUAUGAGUUUAUGAGUUUUGAUGUACCGAAGGAGUUCGGAGUCCCGGAUGAGAUCAAGGACAUGACGAGGAGUCUCGAAAUGGUCGAGACGUAAAGAUCGAUAUAUUGGACGACUAUAUUCGGAGUUCGGAAAGGUUCCGAGUGAUUCGGGUAUUUUUCGGAGUACCGGAGAGUUACGGGAAUUCACCGGGGAGAAGUAUUGGGCCUUAUUGGGCCCUGCGGGAAAGAGAGAGGGGCUGCCUAGGGCAGGCCGGGCGCCCCCCCAUGGCCUAGUCCGAAUUGGACUAGGGGGAGGGGCCGCACCCCCUCCUUCCUUCCCUUCUCCCUUCCCCUUCCUUGUCUCCUACUCCUAAUACAUGGAAGGACUCCUAGUUGUACUAGGAAAGGGGGAAUCCGGUGGGAGUAGGACUCCCCUAGGGCGCGCCAUACAAGAGGGCCGACCCUCCCCUCCUCCACUCCUUUAUAUACGGGGGUAGGGGGCACCCCAUGGACACACAAGUUGAUCAUUGAGAUCGUUCCUUAGCCGUGUGCGGUGCCCCCCUCCACGAUAUUACACCUCGGUCAUAUUGUAGCGGUGCUUAGGCGAAGCCCUGCGACAGGAGAACAUCAAGAUCGUCACCACGCCGUCGUGCUGACGGAACUCCUCCCCGCGCCUCUGCUGGAUCGGAGAUCGGGGUGCGUCAUCGAGCUGUACGUGUGUCAAGAACUCGGAGGUGCCGGAGUAACGGUGCUUGGAUCGGUUGGACCGGGAGGACGUACGACUACUUCCUCUACGUUGCGUCAACGCUUCCGCUUCGGUCUACGAGGGUACGCAGACAACACUCUCCCCUCUCGUUGCUAUGCAUCACCAUGAUCUUUCGUGUGCGUAGGAAAUUUUUUGAAAUUACUACGUUCCCCAACAGCCGCCCCCCCUCCUAGUCCAAUUCAGACCAGAGGGAGAGGGGGCACGCGGCCCACCUAGGCCGCCCCUCUAUCUUUCCCCUAAGGCCCACUAGGCCCAUUACUUCUCCCAGGGGGUUCCGGUAACCCUCCGGCACUCCGGUUUUCUUCGAAAACACCCGGAACACUUCCGGUGUCCGAAUAUAGCCAUCCAAUAUAUCAAUCUUUAUCUCUCGACCAUUCUGAGACUCCUCGUUAUGUCUGUGAUCACAUCCGGGACUCCGAACAAACUUGGUACAUCAAAACUUAAACUCAUAAUAAAACUAUCAUCGUAAUGUUAAGCGUGCGGACCCUACUGGUUCGAGAACUAUGUAGACAUGACCUAGAACUAUUCUCGUUCAAUAACCAAUAGCGGAACCUGGAUGCCCAUAUUGGUUCCUACAUAUUCUACGAAGAUCUUUAUCGGUCAAACCGCAUAACAACAUACGUUGUUCCCUUUGUCAUCGGUAUGUUACUUGCCCGAGAUUCGAUCGUAGGUAUCCAAUACCUAGUUCAAUCUCGUUACCGGCAAGUCUCUUUACUCGUUAUGUAAUGCAUCAUUCCGUAACUAACUCAUUAGUCACAUUGCUUGCAAGGCUUAUAGUGAUGUGCAUUACCGAGAGGGUCCAGAGAUACCUCUCCGACAAUCAGAGUGACAAAACCUAAUCUCGAAAAACGCCAACCCAACAUCUACCUUUGGAGACACCUGUAGUACUCCUUUGUAAUCACCCAGUUACGUUGUGACGUUUGGUAGCACCCAAAGUGUUCCUCCGGUAAAUGGGAGUUGCAUAAUCUCAUAGUUUCCUGAACAUGUAUAAGUCAUGAAGAAAGCAAUAGCAAUAUACUAAACGAUCAAAUGCUAGGCUAACAGAAUGGGUCAUGUCAAUCACAUCGUUCUCCUAAUGAUGUGAUCCCAUUAAUCAAAUGACAACACAUGUCUAUGGUUAGGAAACACAACCAUCUUUGAUUAAUGAGCUAGUCAAGUAGAGGCAUACUAGUGACUAUAUGUUUGUCUAUGUAUUCACACAUGUAUCAUGUUUCCGGUUAAUACAAUUCUAGCAUGAAUAAUAAACAUUUAUCAUGAUAUGAGGAAAUAAAUAAUAACUUUAUUAUUGCCUCUAGGGCAUAUUUCCUUCAGUCUCCCACUUGCACUAGAGUCAAUAAUCUAGAUUACAUAGUAAUGAUUCUAACACCCAUGGAGUGUUGGUGCUGAUCAUGUUUUGCUCGUGAGAGAGGCUUAGUCAAUGGGUCUGCAACAUUCAGAUCCGUAUGUAUCUUGCAGAUUUCUAUGUCUCCUACUUGGACUUGGUCCCGGAUGGAAUUGAAGCGUCUUUUGAUGUGCUUGGUCCUCGUGUGAAAUCUAGAUUCCUUUGCCAAGGCAAUUACACCAGUAUUGUCAAAGAAGAUCUUCAUUGGUCCCGAUGCACUAGGUAUGACACCUAGAUCGGAAAUGAACUCCUUCAUCCAGACUCCUUCAUUUGCUGCUUCCGAAGCAGCUAUAUACUCCGCUUCACAUGUAGAUCCCGCCCCGACGCUUUGUUUAGAACUGCACCAACUUAGAGCUCCACCGUUUAAUAAAAAUACGUAUCUGGUUUGCGAUUUAGAAUCGUCCGGAUCAGUGUCAAAGCUUGCAUCAACGUAACCAUUUACGACUAGCUCUUUGUCACCUCCAUAUACGAGAAACAUAUCCUUAGUCCUUUUCAGGUAUUUCAGGAUGUUCUUGACCGCUGUCCAGUGAUCCACUCCUGGAUUACUUUGGUACCUUCCUGCCAAGCUAUUGCUAAGCAUACGUCAGGUCUGGUACACAGCAUUGCAUACAUGAUAGAGCCUAUGGCUGAAGCAUAGGCAACAUCUUUCAUUUUCUCUCUAUCUUCUGCUGUGGUCGGACAUUGAGUUUGACUCAACUUCACACCUUGAAGCACGGGCAAGAACCCUUUCUUUGCCUGAUCCAUUUUGAACUUUUUCAAAAUUUUAUCAAGGUAUGUGCUUUGUGAAAGUCCUAUUAAGCGUCUUGAUCUAUCUCUAUAAAUCUUGAUGCCUAAUAUGUAAGCAGCUUCACCAAGGUCUUUCAUUGAAAAACUUUUAUUCAAGUAUCCCUUUAUGCUAUCCAGAAAUUCUAUAUCAUUUCCAAUCAAUAAUAUGUCAUCUACAUAUAAUAUCAGAAAUGCUACAGAGCUCCCACUCACUUUCUUGUAAAUACAGGCUUCUCCAAAAGUCUGUAUAAAACCAUAUGCUUUGAUCACACUAUCAAAACGUUUAUUCCAACUCCGAGAUGCUUGCACCAGUCCAUAAAUGGAUCGCUGGAGCUUGCACACUUUGUUAGCACCUUUUGGAUCAACAAAACCUUCUGGUUGCAUCAUAUACAACUCUUCUUCCAGAAAUCCAUUCAGAAAUGCAGUUUUGACAUCCAUUUGCUAGAUCUCAUAAUCAUGAAAUGCAACAAUAGCUAACAUGGUUCGGACAGACUUAAGCAUCGCUACGGAUGAGAAAUUCUCAUCAUAGUCAACCCCUUGAACUUGUCAAAAAGCUUUCGCAACAAGUCGAGCUUUAUAGACAGUUACAUUACCAUCAGCGUCAGUCUUCUUCUUAAAGAUCCAUUUAUUCUCAAUGGCUUGCCGAUCAUCGGGCAAGUCAACCAAAGUCCAUACUUUGUUCUCAUACAUGGAUCCCAUCUCAAAUUUCAUGGCCUCUAGCCAUUUUGCGGAAUCUGGGCUUAUCAUCGCUUCCUCAUAGUUCGUAGGUUCAUCAUGGUCAAGUAACAUGUCUUCUAGAAUAGGAUUACCGUACCACUCAGGUGCGGAUCUUACUCUAGUAGACCUACGAGGCUCAGUAGAAACUUGAUCUGAAGUUUCAUGAUCAAUAUCAUUAGCUUCCUCACUAAUUGGUGUAGUUGUCACAGGAACCGGUUCUUGUGAUGAACUACUUUCCAACAAGGGAGCAGAUACAGUUAUCUCAUCAAGAUCUACUUUCCUCCCACUCACUUCCUUCAAGAGAAACUCCUUCUCUAGAAAGGAUCCGAUUUUAGCAACGAAAAUCUUGCCCUCAGAUCUGUGAUAGAAGGUGUACCCAAUGGUCUCUUUUGGGUAACCUAUGAAGACACAUUUCUCAGAUUUGGGUUCGAGCUUAUCUGGUUGAAGUUUCUUCACAUAAGCAUCGCAGCCCCAAACUUUAAGAAACGACAACUUUGGUUUCUUGCCAAACCACAGUUCAUAAGGCGUCGUCUCAACGGAUUUUGAUGGUGCCCUAUUUAACGUGAAUGCGGCCGUCUCUAAAGCAUAACCCCAAAGCGAUAGCGGUAAAUCAGUAAGAGACAUCAUAGAUCGCACCAUAUCUAGUAAAGUACGACUACGACGUUCGGACACAACAUUUCGUUGUGGUGUUCCGGGUGGCGUGAGUUGCGAAACUAUUCCGCAUUGUUUCAAGUGUAGACCAAACUCGUAACUCAAAUAUUCUCCUCCACGAUCAGAUCGUAGAAACUUUAUUUUCUUGUUACGAUGAUUUUCCACUUCACUCUGAAAUUCUUUGAACUUUUCAAAUGUUUCAGACUUGUGUUUCAUCAAGUAGAUAUACCCAUAUCUGCUCAAGUCAUCUGUGAAGGUGAGAAAAUAACGAUACCCGCCGCGAGCCUCAACAUUCAUUGGACCACAAACAUCAGUAUGUAUGAUUUCCAACAAAUCAGUUGCUCGCUCCAUAGUUCUGGAGAACGGCGUUUUAGUCAUCUUGCCCAUAAGGCACGGUUCGCAAGUACCAAGUGAUUCAUAAUCAAGUGAUUCCAAAAGCCCAUUAGUAUGGAGUUUCUUCAUGCGUUUUACACCGAUAUGACCUAAACGGCAGUGCCACAAAUAAGUUGCACUAUCAUUAUCAACUCUGCAUCUUUUGGUUUCAACACUAUGAAUAUGUGUAUCACUACUAUCGAGAUUUAAUAAAAAUAGACCACUGUUCAAGGGUGCAUGACCAUAAAAGAUAUUACUCAUAUAAAUAGAACAACCAUUAUUCUUUGAUUUAAAUGAAUAACCGUCUCGCAUCAAAAAAGAUCCAGAUAUAAUGUUCAUGCUUAACGCUGGCACCAAAUAACAAUUAUUUAGGUCUAAAAAUAAUCCUGAUGGUAGAUGUAGAGGUAGCAUGCCGGCCGCGAUCACAUCGACUUUGGAACCAUUUCCCACGCGCAUCGUCACCUCGUCCUUAGCCAAUCUUCGCUUAAUCCGUAGUCCCUGUUUCGAGUUGCAAAUAUUAGCAACAGAACCAGUAUCAAAUACCCAGGUGCUACUGCGAGCAUUAGUAAGGUACACAUCAAUAACAUGUAUAUCACAUAUACCUUUCUUCACUUUGCCAUCCUUCUUAUCCGCCAAAAUACUUGGGCAGUUUCGCUUCCAGUGUCCAGUCUGCUUGCAGUAGAAGCACUCAGUUUCAGGCUUAGGUCCAGACUUGGGAUUCUUCUCUUGAGCAGCAACUUGUUUGCUAUUCUUCUUGAAGUUCCCCUUCUUCUUCCCUUUGCCCUUUUUCUUGAAACUGGUGGUCUUGUUAACCAUCAACACUUGAUGCUCCUUCUUGAUUUCUACCUCCGCGGCUUUUAGCAUUGCGAAGAGCUCAGGAGUAGUCUUGUCCAUCCCUUGCAUAUUAUAGUUCAUCACUAAGCUCUUGUAGCUUGGUGGCAGUGAUUGGAGAAUUCUGUCAAUGACACUAUCAUCAGGAAGAUUAACUCCCAGUUGAAUCAAGUGAUUAUUAUACCCAGACAUUUUGAGUAUGUGUUCACUGACAGAACUAUUCUCCUCCAUCUUGCAGCUAUAGAACUUAUUCGAGACAUCAUAUCUCUCAAUCCGGGCAUUUGCUUGAAAUAUUAACUUCAACUCCUGGAACAUCUCAUAUGCUCCAUGACGUUCAAAACGUCGUUGAAGACCCGGUUCUAAGCCGUAAAGCAUGGCACACUGAACUAUCGAGUAGUCAUCAGCUUUGCUCUGCCAGACGUUCUUAACAUCGUCAGUUGCAUCAGCAGCAGGCCGGCACCCAGCGGUGCUUCCAGGACGUAAUUCUUCUGUGCAGCAAUGAGGAUAAUCCUCAGGUUACGGACCCAGUCCGUGUAAUUGCUACCAUCAUCUUUCAACCUUGCUUUCUCAAGGAACGCAUUAAAAUUCAACGGAACAACAGCACGAGCCAUCUAUCUACAACAAACAUAGACAAGCAAAAUACUAUCAGGUACUAAGUUCAUGAUAAAUUUAAGUUCAAUUAAUCAUAUUACUUAAGAACUCCCACUUAGACAGACAUCUCUCUAGUCAUCUAAGUGAUCACGUGAUCCAAAUAUCCUAAACCAUGUCCGAUCAUCAUGUGAGAUGGAGUAGUUUCAAUGGUGAACAUCACUAUGUUGCUCAUAUCUACUAUAUGAUUCACGCUCGACCUUUCGGUCUCCGUGUCCCGAGGCCAUAUCUGUAUAUGCUAGGCUCGUCAAGUUUAACCUGAGUAUUCCGCGUGUGCAACUGUUUUGCACCCGUUGUAUUUGAACGUAGAGCCUAUCACACCCGAUCAUCACGUGGUGUCUCAGCACGAAGAACUUUCGCAACGGUGCAUACUCAGGGAGAACACUUCUUGAUAAUUAGUGAGAGAUCAUCUUAAAAUGCUACCGUUAAUCAAAGCAAGAUAAGAUGCAUAAAUGAUAAACAUCACAUGCAAUCAAUAUAAGUGAUAUGAUAUGGCCAUCAUCAUCUUGUGCUUGUGAUCUCCAUCUUCAAAGCACCGUCGUGAUCACCAUCGUCACCGGCGCGACACCUUGAUCUCCAUGGUAGCAUCGUUGUCGUUACGCCAUCUAUUGCUUCUACGACUAUCGCUACCGCUUAGUGAUAAAGUAAAGCAAUUACAGGGCGUUUGCAUUUCAUACAAUAAAGCGACUGUAGGGGAACGUAGUAAUUUCAAAAAAAUUUCCUACGCACACGCAAGAUCAUGGUGAUGCAUAGCAACGAGAGGGGAGAGUAUUGUCUACGUACCCUCGUAGACCGAAGCGGAAGCGUUGACGCAACGUAGAGGAAGUAGUCGUACGUCCUCCCGGUCCAACCGAUCCAAGCACCGUUACUCCGGUACCUCCGAGUUCUUGACACGCGUACAGCUCGAUGACGCACCCUCGAUCUCCAAUCCAGUAGAGGCUCCGAGGGGGAGUUUCGUCAGCACGACGGCGUGGUGACGAUCUUGAUGUUCUCCUGUCGCAGGGCUUCGCCUAAGCACCGCUACAAUAUGACCGAGGUGUAAUAUCGUGGAGGGGGGCACCGCACACGGCUAAGGAACGAUCUCAAUGAUCAACUUGUGUGUCCAUGGGGUGCCCCCUGCCCCCGUAUAUAAAGGAGGGAGGGAGGAGGAGGCUGGCCUAUUCCCCCUUUCCUAGUCCAACUAGGGAUCCUUCCAUGUAUUAGGAGUAGGAGACUAGGAAGGGGAAGAGAGAAGGGAAGGAAGGAGGGGGUGCGGCCCCUCCCCCUAGCCCAAUUCGGACUAGGGCAAGGGGGGGCGCGCGGGCUGCCCUAGGCAGCCCCUCUCCCUUUCCCGCAGGGCCCAAUAAGGCCCAAUACUUCUCCCCGGCGAAUUCCCGUAACUCUCCGGUACUCCGAUAAAUACCCGAAUCACUCGGAACCUUUCCGAACUCCGAAUAUAGUCGUCCAAUAUAUCGAUCUUUACGUCUCGACCAUUUCGAGACUCCUCGUCAUGUCCCCGAUCUCAUCUGGGACUCCGAACUCCUUCGGUACAUCAAAACUCAUAAACUCAUAAUAUAACUGUCAUCGAAACCUUAAGCGUGCGGACCCUACGGUUCGAGAACAAUGUAGACAUGACCGAGACACGUCUCCGGUCAAUAACCAAUAGCGGGACCUAGAUGCCCAUAUUGGUUCCUACAUAUUCUACGAAGAUCUUUAUCGGUCAGACCGCAUAACAACAUACGUUGUUCCCUUUGUCAUCGGUAUGUUACUUGCCCGAGAUUCGAUCGUCGGUAUCCAAUACCUAGUUCAAUCUCGUUACCGGCAAGUCUCUUUACUCGUUCCGUAAUACAUCAUCUCGCAACUAACUCAUUAGUUGUAAUGCUUGCAAGGCUUAAGUGAUGUGCAUUACCGAGAGGGCCCAGAGAUACCUCUCCGACAUUCGGAGUGACAAAUCCUAAUCUCGAAAUACGCCAACCCAACAAGUACCUUUGGAGACACCUAUAGAGCACCUUUAUGAUCACCCAGUUACGUUGUAACGUUUGGUAGCACACAAAGUGUUCCUCCGGUAAACGGGAGUUGCAUAAUCUCAUAGUCAUAGGAACAUGUAUAAGUCAUGAAGGAAGCAAUAGCAACAUACUAAACGAUCGUGUGCUAAGCUAACGGAAUGGGUCAUGUCAAUCAGAUCAUUCAACUAAUGAUGUGACCUUGUUAAUCAAAUAACAACUCCUUGUUCAUGAUUAGGAAACAUAACCAUCUUUGAUUAACAAGCUAGUCAAGUAGAGGCAUACUAGUGACACUCUGUUUGUCUAUAUAUUCACACAUGUAUUAUGUUUCCGGUUAAUACAAUUCUAGCAUGAGUAAUAAACAUUUAUCAUGAUAUGAGGAAAUAAAUAAUAACUUUAUUAUUGCCUCUAGGGCAUAUUUCCUUCAGUCUCCCACUUGCACUAGAGUCAAUAAUCUAGAUCACAUCACCAUGUGAUUAACAUCGAUAGUUCACAUCAUCAUGUGAUUAACACCCAUAGUUCACAUCGCCAUGUGACCAACACCCAAAGGGUUUACUAGAUUCAGUAAUCUAGUUCACAUCGCUAUGUGAUUAACACCCAAGAGUAUAAGGUGUGAUCAUGUUUUGCUUGUGAGAGAGUCUUAGUCAACGGGUCUUUCACAUUCAGAUACGUUAUGUAUUUUGCAAUCUUUCUAUGUCUACAAUGCUCUGCACGAAGCUACUCUAGCUAAUUGCUCCCACUUUCAAUAUGUAUCUAGAUCGAGACUUAGAGUCAUCCAGAUCAGUGUCAAAACUUGCAUCGACGUAACCCUUUACGACGAACCUUUUGUCACUUCCAUAAUCGAGAAACAUGUCCUUAUUCCACUAAGGAUAAUUUUGACCGCUGUCCAGUGAUCUACUCCUAGAUCACUAUUGUACUCCCUUGCCAAACUCAGUGCAGGGUAUACAAUAGAUCUGGUACACAGCAUGGCAUACUUUAUAGAACCUAUGGCCAAGGCAUAGGGAAUGACUUUCAUUCUCUUUCUAUCUUCUGCCGUGGUCGGGUUUUGAGUCUUACUCAAUUUCACACCUUGUAACACAGGCAAGAACUCUUUCUUUGACUGUUCCAUUUUGAACUACUUCAAAAUCUUGUCAAGGUAUGUACUCAUUGAAAAAACUUAUCAAGCAUCUUGAUCUAUCUCUAUAGAUCUUGAUGCUCAAUAUGUAAGUAGCUUCACCGAGGUCUUUCUUUGAAAAACUUCUUUCAAACACUCCUUUAUGCUUUGCAGAAUAAUUCUACAUUAUUUCUGAUCUACAAUAUGUCAUUCACAUAUACUUAUCAGAAAUGUUGUAGUGCUCCCACUCACUUUCUAGUAAAUACAGGCUUCACUACAAGUCUGUAUAAACUAUAUGCUUUGAUCAACUUAUCAAAGCGUAUAUUCCAACUCCGAGAUGCUUGCACCAGUCCAUAGAUGCACAUUUUGUUAACACCUUUAGGAUCGACAAAACCUGUUGGUUGCAUCACAUACAACUCUUCUUUAAUAACUCCAUUAUGGAAUGCAGUUUUGUUUAUCCAUUUGCCAGAUUUCAUAAAAUGCGGCAAUUGAUAACAUGAUUCGGACAGACUUUUAAGCAUCGAUACGAGUGAGAAAAAUCUCAUUGUAUUCAACAUCUUGAACUUUGUCAAAAACCUUUUUCGACAAGUCUAGCUUUGUAGAUAGUAACACUACUAUCAGCGUCCGUCUUCCUCUUGAAGAUCCAUUUAUUUUCUAUGGCUUGCCGAUCAUCGGGCAACUCCACCAAAGUCCACACUUUGUUCUCAUACAUGGAUCUCAUCUCAGAUUUCAUGGCCUCAAGCCAUUUCGCGGAAUCUGGGCUCAUCAUCGCUUCCUCAUAGUUCGUAGGUUCAUCAUGAUCUAGUUACAUGACUUCCAGAAGAGGAUUACCGUACCACUCUGGUGCGGAUCUCACUCUGGUUUACCUACAAGAUUCGGUAGUAACUUGAUCUGAAGUUACAUGAUCAUCAUCAUUAGCUUCCUCACUAAUUGGUGCAGUAGUCACAGGAACAGAUUUCUGUGAUGAACUACUUUCCAAUAAGGGAGAAGGUACAAUUACCUCAUCAAGUUCUACUUUCCUCCCACUCACCUCUUUCGAGAGAAACUCCUUCUCUAGAAAGGAUCCAUUUAUUAGCAACGAAUGUUUUGCCUUCGGAUCUGUGAUAGAAGGUGUACCCAACAAUUUCCUUUGGGUAUUCUAUGAAGACGCACUUCUCCGAUUUGGGUUUGAGCUUAUCAGGAUGAAACUUUUUCACAUAAGCAUCGCAGCCCCAAACUUUAAGAAACGACAACUUUGGUUUCUUGCUAAACCACAGUUCAUAUAGUGUCGUCUCAACGGAUUUAGAUGGUGCCCCAUUUAACGUGAAUGCAGUUGUCUCUAAUGCAUGAUCCCAAAAACGAUAUUGGUAAAUCGGUAAGAAAUAUCAUAGAUUGUACUAUAUCCAAUAAAGUACGGUUAUGACGUUCGGACACACCAUUAUGAUGUGGUGUUCCAGGUGGCAUGAAUUUGUGAAACUAUUCCACAUUGUUUUAAUUGAAGACCAAACUCGUAACUCAAAUAUUUGUCUCCGCGAUCAGAUCGUAGAAACCUUAUUUUCUUGUCAUGAUGAUUUUUCCACUUCACUCUGAAAUUCUUUGAACCUUUCAACUAUUUCAGACUUAUGUUUCAUCAAGUAGAUAUACCCAUAUCUGCUCAAAUCAUCUGUGAAGGUCAGAAAAUAACGAUACCCGCCACGAGCCUUAACACUCAUUGGAUCGCAUACAUCAGUAUGUAUUAUUUCGAAUAAGUCAGUUGCUCGCUCCACUGUUCCGGAGAACGGAGUCUUAGUCAUCUUGCCCAUGAGGCAUGGUUCGCAAGCAUCAAGUGAUUCAUAAUCAAGUGAUUCCAAAAUCCCAUCAGUAUGGAGUUUCUUCAUGCGCUUUACACCAAUAUGACCUAAACGGCAGUGCCACAAAUAAGUUGCACUAUCAUUAUUAACUUUGCAUCUUUUGGUUUCAAUAUUAUGAAUAUGUGUAUCACUACGAUCGAGAUCCAAUGAACCAUUUUCAUUGGGUGUGUAACCAUAUAAGGUUUUAUUCAUGUAAAUAGAACAACAGUUUAUUCUCUUACUUAAAUGAAUAACCGUAUUGCAAUAAACACGAUCAAAUCAUAUUCAUGCUCAACGCAAACACCAAAUAACAUUUAUUUAGGUUCAACACUAAUCCCGAAAGUAUAGGGAGUGUGCGAUGAUGAUCAUAUCAAUCUUGAAACUACUUUCAACACACAUCGUCACUUCACCCUUAACUAGUUUCUGUUUAUUCUGCAACUCCCGUUUCGAGUUACUACUCUUAGCAACUGAACCAGUACCAAAUACCGAGGGGUUGCUAUAAACACUAGUAAAGUACACAUUAAUAACAUGUAUAUCAAAUAUACCUUUGUUUACUUUGCCAUCCUUCUUAUCCGCCAAAUAAUUGGGGUAGUUCUGCUUCCAGUGAUCAGUCCCCUUUGCAGUAGAAGUACUUAGUCUCAGGCUUAGGUCCAGACUUGGGCUUCUUCACUUGAGCAGCAACUUGCUUGCCGUUCUUCUUGAAGUUCCCUUCUAUCCCUUUGCCCUUUUCUUGAAACUAGUGGUCUUGUUAACCAUCAACACUUGAUGUUCUUUCUUGAUUUCUACCUUCAUCGAUUUCAUCAUCAUGAAAAAACCCGGGAAUCAUUUUCAUCAUCCCUUGCAUACUAUAGUUCAUCACGAAGUUCUACUAACUUGGUGAUGGUGACUAGGGAAUUCUGUCAAUCACUAUCUUAUCUGGAAGAUUAACUCCCACUUGAUUCAAGUGAUUGUAGUACCCAGACAAUCUGAGCACAUGCUCACUAGUUGAGCGAUUCUCCUCCAUCUUUUAGCUAUAGAACUUGUUGGAGACUUCAUAUCUCUCAACUCGGGUAUUUGCUAGAAAUAUUAACUUCAACUCCUGGAACAUCUCAUAUGGUCCAUGAUGUUCAAAACAUCUUUGAAGUCCCGAUUCUAAGCCAUAAAGCAUGGUGCACAAAACUAUCAAGUAGUCAUCAUAUUGAGCUAGCCAAACGUUCAUAACGUCUGCAUCUGCUCCUGCAAUAGGUCUGUCACCUAGCGGUGCAUCAAGGACAUAAUUCUUCUGCGCAGCAAUGAGGAUAAACCUCAGAUCACGGAUCCAAUCCGCAUCAUUGCUACUAACAUUUUUCAACACAAUUUACUCUAGGAACAUAUCAAAAAUAAACAUAUGAAAGCAACAACGCAAGCCAUUGAUCUACAACAUAAUUUGCAAAAUACUACCAGGACUAAGUUCAUGAUAAAUUUAAGUUCAAUUAAUCAUAUUACUUAAGAACUCCCACUUAGACAGACAUCUCUCUAGUCAUCUAAGUGAUCACGUGAUCCAAAUCAACUAAACCAUAACCGAUCAUCACGUGAGAUGGAGUAGUUUUCAAUGGUGAACAUCAUUAUGUUGAUCAUAUCUACUAUAUGAUUCACGCUCGACCUUUCGGUCUCCGUGUUCCGAGGCCAUAUCUGCAUAUGCUAGGCUCGUCAAGUAUAACCUGAGUAUUCCGCGUGUGCAAAACUGGCUUGCACCCGUUGUAGAUGGACGUAGAGCUUAUCACACCCGAUCAUCACGUGGUGUCUCGGCACGACGAACUUUGCCAACGGUGCAUACUCAGGGAGAACACUACUUGAUAAUUUUUAGUGAGAGAUCAUCUUAAAAUGCUACCGUCAAUCAAAGCAAGAUAUGAUGCAUAAAGGAUAAACAUCACAUGCAAUCAAUAUAAGUGAUAUGAUAUGGCCAUCAUCUUCUUGUGCUUGUGAUCUCCAUCUCCGAAGCACCAUCAUGAUCACCAUCGUCACCGGCGCGACACCUUGAUCUCCAUCGUAGCAUCGUUGUCGUUUACGCCAUCUAUUGCUUCUACGACUAUCGCUACCGCUUAGUGAUAAAGUAAAGCAAUUACAGGGCGUUUGCAUUUCAUACAAUAAAGCGACAACCAUAUGGCUCCUGCCAGUUGCCGAUAACUUCGGUUACAAAACAUGAUCAUCUCAUACAAUAAAAUAUAGCAUCAUGUCUUGGCCAUAUCACAUCACAACAUGCCCUGCAAAAACAAGUUAGACGUCCUCUACUUUGUUGUUGCAAGUUUUACGUGGCUGCUACGGGCUUAAGCAAGAACCAAUCUCACCUACGCAUCAAAACCACAACGAUAGUUUGUCAAGUUGAUGCUGUUUUAACCUUCGCAAGGACCGGGCGUAGCCACACUCGGUUCAACUAAAGUUGGAGAAACUGACACCCGCUAGUCACCUGUGUGCAUAGCACGGCGGUAAAACCAGUCUCGCGUAAGCGUACGCGUAAUGUCGGUCCGGGCCGCUUCAUCCAACAAUACCGCCGAACCAAAGUAUGACAUGCUGGUAAGCAGUAUGACUUAUAUCGACCACAACUCACUUGUGUUCUACUCGUGCAUAUAACAUCAAACCAUAAAAACCUAGGCUCGGAUGCCACUGUAGGGGAACGUAGUAAUUUCAAAAAAAAUUCCUACGCACACGCAAGAUCAUGGUGAUGCAUAGCAACGAGAGGGGAGAGUAUUGUCUACGUACCCUCGUAGACCGAAGCGGAAGCGUUGACGCAACGUAGAGGAAGUAGUCGUACGUCCUCCCGGUCCAACCGAUCCAAGCACCGUUACUCCGGUACCUCCGAGUUCUUGACACGCGUACAGCUCGAUGACGCACCCUCGAUCUCCAAUCCAGUAGAGGCUCCGAGGGGGAGUUUCAUCAGCACGACGGCGUGGUGACGAUCUUGAUGUUCUCCUGUCGCAGGGUUUCGCCUAAGCACCGCUACAAUAUGACCGAGGUGUAAUAUCGUGGAGGGGGGCACCGCACACGGCUAAGGAACGAUCUCAAUGAUCAACUUGUGUGUCCAUGGGGUGCCCCCUGCCCCCGUAUAUAAAGGAGGGAGGGAGGAGGAGGCCGGCCUAGGGAGGAGGCGCGCCAUAGGGGAGUCCUACUCCCACCGGGAGUAGGAUUCCCCCUUUCCUAGUCCAACUAGGGAUCCUUCCAUGUAUUAGGAGUAGGAGACUAGGAAGGGGAAGAGAGAAGGGAAGGAAGGAGGGGGUGCGGCCCCUCCCCCUAGCCCAAUUCGGACUAGGGCAAGGGGGGGCGCGCGGGCUGCCCUAGGCAGCCCCUCUCCCUUUCCCGCAGGGCCCAAUAAGGCCCAAUACUUCUCCCCGGCGAAUUCCCGUAACUCUCCGGUACUCCGAUAAAUACCCGAAUCACUUGGAACCUUUCCGAACUCCGAAUAUAGUCGUCC